AGGACGAACGCUGGCGGCGUGCUUAACACAUGCAAGUCGAGCGCCCGUAGCAAUACGGGAGCGGCAGACGGGAGAGUAACACGUGGGAACGCGCCCUUCGGUUCGGAAUAACUCAGGGAAACUUGAGCUAAUACCGGAUACGCCCUUACGGGGAAAGAUUUAUUGCCGAAGGAACGGCCCGCGUCCGAUUAGCUAGUUGGUGAGGUAAUGGCUCACCAAGGCGACGAUCGGUAGCUGGUCUGAGAGGAUGACCAGCCUCACUGGGACUGAGACACGGCCCAGACUCCUACGGGAGGCAGCAGUGGGGAAUAUUGGACAAUGGGGGAAGCCCUGAUCCAGCGACGCCGCGUGUGUGAAGAAGGCCUGCGGGUUGUAAAGCACUUUUAGUGGGAUGAAAAGCCUAGGGUUAAUACCUCUGGGUCUUGACCUAACCUACAGAAAAGCACCGGCUAACUCUGUGCCAGCAGCCGC
rnacentral:rRNA from 1 species